ensembl:snRNA U4 U4 spliceosomal RNA
AGCUUUGCUCAGUGGCAGUAUCAUAGCCAAUGAGAUUUAUCCAAUGCACAAUUAUUGCUAAUUGAAAACUUUUCCCAAUACCCCACAAUGAUGACUUGAAAUAUAGUCGGCAUUGGCAAUUUUUGACAGUCUCCACAGAGA